AACGCACCUUGCGCUCCUUGGUAUUCCGAGGAGCAUGCCUGUUUGAGUGUCAUGAAAUUCUCAACCUUUCUAGCUUUUUCGAAGGCUAGGCAGGCUUGGAUCGUGGAGGCUGCUGGUUCUUGUCAAUCAGCUCUUCUUAAAUGUAUUAGCAGUCCUUUGCUGACGAUCAUUGGUAUGAUAAUUAUCUAUAUCAUUGAGACACAGCUUCCCUAGUGGAGAGGCUCCGCUUCUAAUCGUCUUUAUAAGACAACUUGACAACUUUGACCUCAAAUCAGGUAGGACUACCCGCUGAACUUAA
rnacentral:misc_RNA from 1 species